rnacentral:rRNA from 1 species
GAUGAACGCUAGCUACAGGCUUAACACAUGCAAGUCGAGGGACCGGCGCACGGGUGAGUAACACGUAUCCAACCUGCCCUUUACUCGGGGAUAGCCUGUCGAAAGAAAGAUUAAUACCCGAUAUAAAGGAUGGGGAUGCGUUCCAUUAGGUUGUUGGUGAGGUAACGGCCCACCAAGCCUUCGAUGGAUAGGGGUUCUGGGAGGAAGGUCCCCCACAUUGGAACUGGGACACGGUCCAAACUCCGACGGGAGGCAGCAGUGGGGAAUAUUGCACAAUGGGCGCAAGCCUGAUGCAGCCAUGGCGCGUGUAUGAAGAAGGCCUAGGGUUGUAAACUUCUUUUAUAUAAGAAUAUGUAUUAUAUGAAUAAGGAUCGGCUAACUCCGUGCCAGCCGCCGCGGUAAUUC